rnacentral:rRNA from 1 species
AUGGCGGAGGAACCAUCUGCCAAGCGUCCCCGUGGUGAGACGUCCGACCAGAGCACGGAGGUCGACGACGUUCAGGUCCCCGGUCAGAAGCACGACUACAAAGUGCACCUCAAGGAGGUUGACAUCCACGGCAAGGAAAAGCUGGAUGUCGUAUGCACCAGCAAUCCUGAGGAAGCUGACAAGAUGAUCAGCAGGAUCCUGAAGAGGGUCUGCGGCUUGUACCCUCAGUACAUCGGCGUUGAUGUUGAGUAUACCAGGGAGGACGAACCUCCGCAGAGGGCAGCGGUUCUACAGUUAUGCGUGGAGGAACUCUGUUUGGUAUAUCACAUCACCGCGGCAACAAAAUGGUGA